AUUGAACGCUGGCGGCAGGCCUAACACAUGCAAGUCGAACGGUAACAGGAAGCAGCUUGCUGCUUUGCUGACGAGUGGCGGACGGGUGAGUAAUGUCUGGGAAACUGCCUGAUGGAGGGGGAUAACUACUGGAAACGGUAGCUAAUACCGCAUAACGUCGCAAGACCAAAGAGGGGGACCUUCGGGCUUCUUGCCAUCGGAUGUGCCCAGAUGGGAUUAGCUAGUAGGUGGGGUAACGGCUCACCUAGGCGACGAUCCCUAGCUGGUCUGAGAGGAUGACCAGCCACACUGGAACUGAGACACGGUCCAGACUCCUACGGGAGGCAGCAGUGGGGAAUAUUGCACAAUGGGCGCAAGCCUGAUGCAGCCAUGCCGCGUGUAUGAAGAAGGCCUUCGGGUUGUAAAGUACUUUCAGCGGGGAGGAAGGGAGUAAAGUUAAUACCUUUGCUCAUUGACGUUACCCGCAGAAGAAGCACCGGCUAACUCCGUG
rnacentral:rRNA from 1 species